rnacentral:rRNA from 1 species
UAAUACGGAGGGUGCAAGCGUUAAUCGGAAUUAACUGGGCGUAAAGCGCACGCAGGCGGUUUGUUAAGUCAGAUGUGAAAUCCCCGGGCUCAACCUGGGAACUGCAUUUGAAACUGGCAAGCUAGAGUCUCGUAGAGGGGGGUAGAAUUCCAGGUGUAGCGGUGAAAUGCGUAGAGAUCUGGAGGAAUACCGGUGGCGAAGGCGGCCCCCUGGACGAAGACUGACGCUCAGGUGCGAAAGCGUGGGGAGCAAACAGGAUUAGAUACCCUGGUAGUCCACGCUGUAAACGAUGUCGAUUUGGAGGUUGUGCCCUUGAGGCGUGGCUUCCGGAGCUAACGCGUUAAAUCGACCGCCUGGGGAGUACGGCCGCAAGGUUA